GAGGGUAUAGCUCAGUGGUAGAGUGUGUGCUUAGUACACACAGGGUCCUAGGUUCAAUCCCCGGUACCUCCA
rnacentral:tRNA from 1 species